UACGAAGGGGGCUAGCGUUGCUCGGAAUCACUGGGCGUAAAGCGCACGUAGGCGGAUCUUUAAGUCAGGGGUGAAAUCCCGGGGCUCAACCCCGGAACUGCCUUUGAUACUGGGUAUCUCGAGUCCGAGAGAGGUGAGUGGAAUUCCGAGUGUAGAGGUGAAAUUCGUAGAUAUUCGGAGGAACACCAGUGGCGAAGGCGGCUCACUGGCUCGGUACUGACGCUGAGGUGCGAAAGCGUGGGGAGCAAACAGG
rnacentral:rRNA from 1 species